UACGGUAUCUCGAGGAAAACUCCCAUCGCGCGGAGUCUCUCUUCCCUAUCUUUCAUUCUUGCUGUUAUUGCCGCGUCGGGUACCCAGGAGUCGAAAAAUGUUCCCUGGAGGGGGCGGGGAAAGGGGGAGCCUUGGCGAGGUGUAGCUUCGGAGCGGCUCCCGCCGGCGCCACAGCCGCCGCCUCCUUUCCAAUUCACUCAAACAAACAAGAUGGCUGCCGUUACGCCGCGGCUCUUCCUGCCGCCCAAAUCCACGGUUCAAAUCGGCAGGAUGUUUACGGUCAAAAUGGUACCUGUGCGCCUGCGCAGCCGGCCUAAGACCCAGAAGGAGCGACGCAGGCGCAGCGACCAUUUCCUUUUCUUUGGAACCCGCCCACUGAGCGGGAGCUCGUCACUGAGCAUGCGCAAAGAGUCCCACCGGAUCAACAUAUUCACCUGCUUCACUGAAGUGUCGGGUUUCCCGAAGGACUUACUGCUGUCAGCAUUUUCUCUACCUGGGCAUACCUGAUAAAUGCGCAUUUGUCAAAUUUUGCAGUUUAUUGGGCUAAUACCUUGACAGGACAGAUUUCAAUUACAGAUUUAAUCUUCCUUCAGUUAAAAGUGGUUUGCUUUCCUUUUGAGAAACUGGAUGUUGCCACUGGUUUGAGUACCCAUCUAAAAGCAGCUGUGUUAUAUGUCUUAUUGUUUCAUGAUUUCUCUCUCUCUCUCUCUCACACACACACACACACAGAGCCCUGAGACCUUUUUUUGUGAGAUAAAAGCGUUACAGAACCAUAUAUUAUAACACAUAGUAGCAGGCUUGUUUAAAUAUAGACAAAUUUUUUGCAAACUGUUUCCUUGAGCUAGGAAACAUUUUGAAUUAUUGCGUAUAAUUUUUAAAAUCUACAAUGUUAAAAUAAUUAUUUAAGUAGGAUUGGUAAGAAUGAGAGAAACAAGGCAGGAAGAUAGAUUUUCAGGAGAUAUUUAAUGUUAGAAGUGGAUGGAUGUUGAGUAUAUUGCACCAAUAUUUUAAAAAAUUAAAAUAAAAUCUAUCUUGUUUCUAAAGCUGAUCA
rnacentral:lncRNA from 1 species